UCAUGUACUGUAUUGUAAUGUUUGUCAGCUCAUGGAAUAUGCUGUUUAACUCACUUAGCAUGCUUUGUGGGAAACCCUGGUUGGAGCAUUUAAAACAUACCAGCUAUAUAGUUUUGCCAACAUCAAUGUCCUUAUGCUGUGCCUCAAGUAUAAGCUUGUCGUGGUAUUUUCAAAACUUUGACGAAAGACUACAGUCAUAACAGUAUGGCCUUUGGCUUCCAUGUGAUUUUUUAUUAAUAUGUGUUCAAAUGAGCCAAAAAGCAUUAGCAUGUGUGAUUAAUAGCAAUACAUUUAGUUGUACAUGUACAUCUGUUUACAUUCAGAAUUCGUCUCAUUGAGACAGCAAGCAGAGACACUAGCAGUUGAAAAGAAUAAUGUAGAACAGAAAGCUGAAGGUUAUCUUGUUGACUAUGAGCAAGAGAACUAAGAAAACUUUGAACUUAAAUUUACCGUGUUCUUUGAAUGAAGUGAAGGAUCAGUUACAGCAGCAAGUCAAUUAUUGCUCUUCAUUGGGUUGUGUUUGUGGUACAAUGCUAUGGAGUACAUCUCAGAAUGAAGACUGUAUACAGAAUUUACUCUCUGGAGUAAGAAUACUGAUAUUGUGUGACCCUUAUGCAGCUUUUUAUUAUCUCUUGAUUUUCUACAAUUGGUGUCAGCCACACUGCACAGCUAUCUAUCAACUUAUAAUAGUGACUUACCUAGUGAGUCCAGUCAAGAAUCUCAGUUUGUCAUCUUCCUUUGUGGUACUGUUACCAAUAUUGCAGCAUCUGCUUAUGGAAGAGAAUAUUUGUCAUCUUGUCAUAAAGGACAGGAACUGUUGAAAAACAUGUGCUCAGUACUGGCUACAGCUCCACUCUCUCAAGGAUGUGCUAAAAUUAAGAGUCUCAUUCUUAUGCUCCUCUAUAACAUCAGUAUUAAUCAAAAAGGACUAACAUUAUUAAGAUCUGAACCUGAUCUACUGAGAAUAUUAAUGUGGCUAGCUAAA